rnacentral:rRNA from 1 species
AGGGCAUGCAAGUCGAGCGAGAAACCCAAUUAGCUUGCUAUGAGGUGGACAGCGGCGAAAGGGAGAGUAACGCGUGGUUACGUGCCCUCGGGACCCGGGAUAGUGUCGGGAAACUGGCAGUAAUACCGGAUAACAUCUUAGGAUCAAAUGGUGUGAUUCCGCCCGAGGAUCGGACCGCGUACUAUUAGCUUGUUGGCGGGGUAAUGGCCCACCAAGGCUGCGAUGGUUACCCGGGUGUGAGAGCAUGGCCCGGCUCACUGGGACUGAGACACUGCCCAGACAUCUACGGAUGGCUGCAGUCGAGAAUCUUCGGCAAUGGACGAAAGUCUGACCGAGCGACGCCGCGUGCGGGAUGAAGGCCCUCGGGUUGUAAACCGCUGUCAGUUAGGAGGAAAUCCAUGGGGGUUCUCCCCUGUGGUUGACCGAUUUUCAGAGGAAGGACGGGCUAAGUUCGUG